rnacentral:pre_miRNA from 1 species
AGUGGAAUUGCUGGGUUAUAUGGUAACUCUAUGUUUAACCUUUUGAGGAACCGCCAGACUGUUUUCCAAAGUGGUUGCACCGCUUUGCAUUUCCACCAGCAGU